rnacentral:rRNA from 2 species
CGGUUGACCUCGGAUCAGG